ensembl:lncRNA SNHG5 small nucleolar RNA host gene 5
GCUGCGCACUUCGGUCUUUUACGUCGGCCUUCGCGAGCGUCUGGGCGGGUGGUAGGAACAAUGGCGCUGUCUUCAGUGGCACAGUGGAGCAGCUCUGAAGAUGCAAAGAUACACGAAAAAACUUCCAGAACAUCUGGGAGAAUAUUUAAUGGAAAAUCGCUUGGUUAAAACCUGACACUUUUAACAGUGAGGGUCGCUGUCUGCCCAUUGAUAGAGGCCAGAUUGUCUUGGAAGUUCCAAAGUUGCAACGAUUUCUUUAGUUGAAUCCAUGGACAUGAAACCCACAGAUAUAGAGGGUUGGCCCGGUGCAGUGGCUCACGCCUGUAAUCCCAGCACUUUGGGAGGCCAAGGCGGGUGGAUCACCUGAGGUCAGAAGCUUGAGACCAGCCUGGCCAACAUGGUAAAACCCCAUCUCUACUAAUAAUACAAAACAAUUUGCUGGGCAUGGUGGUGCACGCUUGUAAUCCAAGCUACUCCAGAGGCUGAGGCAGAAGAAUCGCUUGAAUCCGAGAGGCAAAGGUUGCAGUGAGCCCAGAUCACACCACUGCUCUCCAACCUGGGCAACAAGAGCAAAACUCCGUCAAAAAAAAAAGAUACAGGGUCAACUGUACACAUUAAACACUUCUAUCAACUAGUGAUGUCAGUCUUGUCCAUUGUAUUAUUGCCUAUCUUACUAAACAGUCAUAUUUCAGGAAGUACAAUAUACUCAAAAACUAAGUUAAUGUUCUUUGUAGAUUUAUGGUUAAUGGAUGAUUCAUAUAAUAGAAACUUAAAUUUAUUUGACCAUUCUAUUUAAUAUAGAAUAAAUACAACUAGCCAGGCAUGGUGGCUCAUGUCUAUAAUGCCAGCACUUGGGGAGGCCAAGGUGGGAGGCUCACUUGAGCAUAGGAAUUCAAGGCCAGCCUGGGCAACACAAUGUGAGACCCGUCUCUAUGAAAAUUUUAAAAAUUAGCCAAGCAUGGUAACACAAGUCUGUGGUCCCAGCUACUUGGGAGGCUGAGGCGCGAGAAGUCCAGGAGGUCAACGCUGCAGUGAGCUGUGUGUGUGCCACUGCAUCCUAGCCUGGGCAACAGAGCAAGACCCUGUCUCAAAAAUAAAGAAUAAAUACAACCUAUUAAGCUUGAGAGAUCCAGUGAAAUCCAAAUAAGAGAAACUGUGUCCUACACAGUUUUCUGUUAACCAUUUUCUUGGUAUUUAAAUUAUUUAUCAAAUUUUAACUUCAAUAAAAAAUUAUUCUGGAGAACACAUACCUCUAGAGUAAGUAAAGUAUACACUUUCAAUUUUUAGACAUGAGGUUUUGAGGUGUUUGACUGUAUCUAAUUUCCUAAAGGCUCUAUUUUUUAACCUACAAAAAUUAUAAAAAGAUAUAUAAAAGAUAUGAAAUGUAAAAAUAA